UGAACGCUGGCGGCAUGCCUUACACAUGCAAGUCGAACGGCAGCACGGGAGCAAAUCCCUGGUAGUCGGACGUCGGGACGGGAAACGGGGGUCGGAAGUUAAACGUAUAUCGGAACGUGCCCAGUCGUGGGGGAUAACGUAGCGAAAGCUACGCUAAUACCGCAUACGAUCUACGGAUGAAAGCGGGGGAUCGCAAGACCUCGCGCGAUUGGAGCGGCCGAUAUCAGAUUAGCUAGUUGGUGGGGUAAAGGCCCACCAAGGCGACGAUCUGUAGCUGGUCUGAGAGGACGACCAGCCACACUGGAACUGAGACACGGUCCAGACUCCUACGGGAGGCAGCAGUGGGGAAUUUUGGACAAUGGGCGCAAGCCUGAUCCAGCAAUGCCGCGUGCAG
rnacentral:rRNA from 1 species